AAUGCAGGUCGGGCAACCGCGUCCCGAUGCCGCCCUUAGGCGGACUCGGGAUGAGGAAAGUCCGAACUCCACAGAGCAAGGUGCCCCGUGAACAACAGGGGUCUCACGGCCGCAAGUCCGUGAGAACGGAAAGUGUCACAGAAAACAUACCGCCGGCCCUGGUCCCACCCGCGAUGGCGGGAGCAGAGCCGGUAAGGGUGAAAAGGCGAGGUAAGAGCUCACCGCUCCGCCAGUAAUGACGGGGGCACGACAAACCCCACCUGGAGCAAGACCAAAUAAGAGAGGAGAAGCUGCUCGCUUCACUGCCUCGUCCCGCGCUUGCGCGGCGGCAGGGCAACACUCUCGGGUAGGUCGCUUGAGCCACGGAGCAAUCCAAGGCCCAGAGAAAUGGUUGCCUCUCCCCCUUUCCGGGGGACAGACAGAAUUCGGCUUACAGACCUGCACUGCUU
rnacentral:RNase_P_RNA from 1 species